GUAGUUCUAGGCUGGAGGAGCAGUGCAGGAGACCAGAGAAAAGUGAACUUAUUCAAGUACAUAUAUUCUAGAAGGUCUUCAAAACUGUUGAAAAGGAGUGUAGGGGGAACUUACCCAGUCACUUAAUGAGCUAUUCUUUGAAAAAUGUCCUGGGUACCUUCAACCAGAAAAAUAUGCUAAAAAAGAAAAGUCCUUAGUGUCUUGCCAAACUAGGUCUUGAAGUAAUGGCAUGAAGAAAAUAUAGAAGUCGAUUACAGUGUCAGAGAAAUGGAGCUUCAUUAACUCUAAUAAAAAUAGAUAAAUAUGAUCCACGCGCUUCUGGAGAAGUCGCUCAGGUUGUUCGAGACAGAUGCUCUGUAGCCACAUCAACUGGAGAGCAUCACAGAAAAAGUAUCCGCGGAUGUUUUCAACCAGGCAAUAGGAAGGCAGCGAAGCAACGAUUCAAGACUCUUCACAAAAGAGGCGAAAAGAGAGACGUUUUCAGCCCCGCAGCAGUGGCCAAGCCCAGACCUCAAGUGGAUGGAUGCCUCUGGAAGUGUCUUCCUGAACGAACCCAUCAGGCAGUAGAAGACUGUGGCGGGGCUAGUGAACUUAGAUGA
rnacentral:lncRNA from 1 species